rnacentral:rRNA from 1 species
GACGAACGCUGGCGGCGUGCCUAAUACAUGCAAGUAGAACGCUGAAGGAGGAGCUUGCUUCUCUGGAUGAGUUGCGAACGGGUGAGUAACGCGUAGGUAACCUGCCUGGUAGCGGGGGAUAACUAUUGGAAACGAUAGCUAAUAUCGCAUAAUAGUAGAUGUUGCAUGACAUUUGCUUAAAAGGUGCAAUUGCAUCACUACCAGAUGGACCUGCGUUGUAUUAGCUAGUUGGUGGGGUAACGGCUCACCAAGGCGACGAUACGUAGCCGACCUGAGAGGGGGAGCGGCCACCCUGGGACUGAGACACGCCCCAGACUCCUACGGGAGGCAGCAGUAGGGCAUCUUCGGCAAUGGACGGAAGUCUGACCGAGCAACGCCGCGUGCGUGUAGAAGGUUUCCGGAUCGUAAAGCUCGGUCGUAAGAGAAGAACGCGUGUGAGAGUGGAAAGUUCACACUGUGACGGUAUCUUACCAGAAAGGGACGGCUAACUACGUG